rnacentral:rRNA from 1 species
GGGUGCAAUCAUACCAGCGUUAAUGCAUCAUAUCCCAUUAGAACUCCACAGUUAAGCGUGCUUGGGAUAGAGUAGUACUGGGAUGGGUGACCUCCCGAGAAGUCAUAGUGUUGCACCCU